CUCAGGGAAACUUGAGCUAAUACCGGAUGUGCCCUUCGGGGGAAAGAUUUAUCGCCAUUGGAGCGGCCCGCGUCUGAUUAGCUAGUUGGUGAGGUAAAGGCUCACCAAGGCGACGAUCAGUAGCUGGUCUGAGAGGAUGAUCAGCCACAUUGGGACUGAGACACGGCCCAAACUCCUACGGGAGGCAGCAGUGGGGAAUCUUGCGCAAUGGGCGAAAGCCUGACGCAGCCAUGCCGCGUGAAUGAUGAAGGUCUUAGGAUUGUAAAAUUCUUUCACCGGGGACGAUAAUGACGGUACCCGGAGAAGAAGCCCCGGCUAACUUCGUGCCAGCAGCCGCGGUAAUACGAAGGGGGCUAGCGUUGCUCGGAAUUACUGGGCGUAAAGGGAGCGUAGGCGGACUGUUAAGUUAGAGGUGAAAGCCCAGGGCUCAACCUUGGAAUUGCCUUUGAUACUGGCAGUCUUGAGUACGGAAGAGGUAUGUGGAACUCCGAGUGUAGAGGUGAAAUUCGUAGAUAUUCGGAAGAACACCAGUGGCGAAGGCGACAUACUGGUCCGUUACUGACGCUGAGGCUCGAAAGCGUGGGGAGCAAACAGGAUUAGAUACCCUGGUAGUCCACGCCGUAAACGAUGAGUGCUAGUUGUCGGCAUGCAUGCAUGUCGGUGACGCAGCUAACGCAUUAAGCACUCCGCCUGGGGGAGUACGGUCGCAAGAUUAAAACUCAAAAGGAAUUGACGGGGGGCCCGCACCAAGCGGUUGGAGCAUGUGGGUUUAAUUCCAAAGCAACGCCGCCAAAACCUUA
rnacentral:rRNA from 1 species